GGAGCGCUAACGUCUAACGCUAACGGCGGUCGUGCCCCGCCGCUGCUGUCACCCCCGGCCGCUGCUGCCCUCCCCGCCGAGGUUCUACUGCUCUCCUUCUUAAGAAGGGUGGGAGGCACUCGGUCUCUCCCCACACCUCUCGCCUGAGGCCAGGCGCCAGGUGUCGCCUGAAGCCAGACAGCCGGUUUGGGAGCGAGCCUGAGCAAUUUAUCUCAAAGCUGCAAGUUCCUGCCAUCUACAUGUGCCCAGAGUCCCCAAAAUUGAGUGUCAAACAGAGGCUGGGUGACCUCCUGUCCAGGAUUGCUCUCAUCGUAUGAAUCGAAGUUUUCAUCUUAACGUAUUUUUUUCUCCUGAGAAUAGGCCAACCAAUCAAUGGCUCAGACAGAUAAGCCAACAUGCAUCCCGCCGGAGCUGCCGAAGAUGCUGAAGGAGUUUGCCAAAGCCGCCAUUAGGGUGCAGCCGCAGGACCUCAUCCAGUGGGCAGCCGAGUACGUGCUCCUUUCUCGCCUUCACCCCUUGGAGGACGGCCGGAGACAGAGGGUCCUGUAAAACCGCGGAGGUUGUCAUGGCUGCAGCUAGGAAGUCCGGACUAACUGGCAUCGUCUUUGUUUUAGCUCUUGCAUUGCUUUGAUGCUUUAAAAUCCACACAUAAAUGCUACAUCUAGCUGGGCAAGGAUGGGAUGCCUCCCCUAAGGGAGCCAGAUUGAGCAGUAGGACGCCAGGUCAAUAGGCCGUGUCCUGGGGCAAGCAGCAAGUUAGAUGACCGCGUCACACCAGCGUAUGCACACCCACCUCCUCCCUGCACGCCUUUUCCCACUCCCGGUGGAAAGAAGGGCUGGGAAUCUCCGAAGCUUAAUCUGCCUUUCUUCGUUCUCCUGUCUCACCACUAGAUGGCAGCAGUGCAGCCGGGGGAGGGAAGCGACAGCCCUGGGUGGAUGGGGUGGGACCAGUCCUGCUAGUUCACUCCUUUAAGGAGACACUUCCUCCCCUGCUGUUAAAACUCAUACUUGGACCCAACCAAAGACCCUUUAUAUCUUGUCUUGGAGGAAAUUAUUGUUAUUUUCUUUAGUGUUUCUCUGAACUGAUUUUGUUCUGCCAACAUAAAGAUGUCCGCACAGUACACACUGCAUUCUGGGGAAAGGCCAAGCAGAGUGAUGGGGUCCUCAGGCAUGGCUGAAAACAGUGUGCCUCAAACACGGGUGCCUUCUUUCAGGAGAGACCUCCAGAGGCUGCUCAGUAGAUGGAGCUUACACAACAAUCGCUGCGGGCCUGGAUUGAAGUAGCUUUGCACAGAAAGCCUCUCAGCUAUGAAAUUGCUCCUUGGACAAACUUGCCUGCUUGAAACUGGGGAACCAGGACUUGAGACAGGAGUUGGAAGAUAACUAGACCUCACGGACCAUUUUCAGGCUAUUUUUACUGUUUGAUGAUUCCCUGCUUAGGAGGGUUUCAGUGGGAAAGUGAGAGUGAGAGAGGCCGUUGAGAGAAAGCCAGUGAGUUGGGGAAGGGAAGAUGUCCUCAGGCUGAGGUUGUGAGUGGGUGUCCUGGGCAGAUGGUGGGGAGAGUGUGGACACCUUUGAGAAGACACAAAAUGGCAUCUAAGAGGGGCCUUUCGGAGUCUCUGGGCCAGUGCUGUGCUCCUGGACUGGAUUAGGAUGUAGCUUUUACAAUUGGAAGGAAAAUAAGCCAGUGGUGCUCAUAAAAAGAAACAUAAAUGGGGGUUGCUUUGCCUAGUAAUGAGCCCUGUUUAGUUCUCCAUUUUAAAUUUUAUAUAUUGCCUCUAAGAUUGAACUUUAGCUUCAGAAGACUAAUUUAUUUUGGCAUAGUCAGAUAGACAGACUUUAUCUUAUACGUUAGUUUCAAACCCAUUUGAUUGUUCUUGUGCUGCCGUUUUAUAGUAAGCAAACUGACAUUGCUUAGUAUUGUCCCUGACAUUUAUGGAAGAGGCAUUCCACUAUUGUAGACUGCUUGCUCUCGUAUUGUAUCACGUGCUAUAAUUUUUUUAGACAUCCAUGAAAACUUAGUUUGUAGUUUAACCACAAUGAAAAAGGAGGGCAUGACCUAAGAGCCCCCUCCAUUCUAUCCAGACAUGAAAAGCACUGCUCAGAUGGUUGUAUGUGACUUACUUAAAACCUGUAGCAUUUUAGAGAAUAAAACUCUGCAAAGUGUUUCCAAGACAAAA